rnacentral:lncRNA from 1 species
AGUUCGAAUCAUUUUUUUCGAUCAUUUGGGUCAUUUCAUUCUAAGCAAAAAAUAUUUAUCGUAAUUUUUCUCUAAAAUUGGUUGUUAUCGAGAUUUAUGCGAUUUAAAAUUUGAAAAACGUGAAAAUAGCCAAUUUUCAAGGCUUAAUAACUCAGCUAAAAAUUUUUAUGAAAAUCAGUAAACAAAUCAAAGUUUAGAGUCCCCCCUACAAGAUCCUGAAGAUGUUUGUAUGAUUAUUGUAUCACUAAGCGAUUAUUUUAAAUUAUUACCAAUGAGUGCUAAGCGCGUGUUAGGCGGCCGUCAAUGGUGAGUGUGAAAGAGAUGCACCAUUCUGGCCUUUCAAUGGUGCAUCUCACUCGAAUUAACUUUGAUGGUCGUCUCAAUAUGCUCUUAGCGCUCAUUGUUAAUAAUUAAAAAUAAUAGCUUAGUAAUCAAAUUAUGAUAAAAACUUCUUAAGGAUCUUAUAGGGGCAGCUUUAAACUUUGAUUUAGUCACUUUCUGACUUUCAUAAUAAUAAUUUUUAACCGAGAUAUUAAGCCUUGGAAACGGUCAUUGUCACAUUAUUCGAAUUUUAAAUCGGGUUUAACACGACAACAUUACAUUUUAGAGAAAAAUCAGAAGAAAUUUUUUUUUGCUCCGAAUGACCGAAAUGAUCUAAUAAAAAUUUGUCCGAAGUUAAAAAAUUGUUUUUGUGAAUUUGUUUAAAAAAUGAUUUGAACAAUUUUUCGACCACGGUACUUCCAAGCACCUUGUGGAUUUGUUAUAAGGAUUUAUGUUUCAGUAAGAUUAUACAAAAAAAAAUCAAAUCGGAAUAAUUUACAUAACGCGGGCGACGAUACAGGGUAGACUAUAAUUAAUAUGAAAUUUUUUUCAGGACACCUACAAAAAAAACCACAAAAAACACAAAAAACGGCUUCGGCCACCAAAAAAAAAAAAAAACAAAAAAAUCGGCGCAAGCCAAAAAAAAAUAACAAAAAACAAAACCCGGGCAAGUAGGUCCCAACCCUUUGAGCUCCAAGUCUCUGAACCGGACCUGACCGGAGGCAAUUUUACAAAAUAUACCCACUGUCAGCACAACUUCCGCCUUCUACACAUACUGCAUCCAGAACUGUAUGUUUGCCCACUAUCAAUACAUCUUACAAAAUAUACCCGAUUCAAGUAAAUGUUCUUGAAUCCACUGUGUUUUUGUAUUUUCACUGAAGUUUUCUAUACAUUUAUUGCAUUACACACUUUAAUAUAUCUGGGUAGAUAUUAUUUCAGUUCACAUUUGUUCGUACGCACACGUUAAAAUUAGCAUUAUCAGAACAUGAUUCAAUCCCUAAUAAAUCUUCAUCGUGCAGUUUUAAAUAUUUUCUUAAAUAUAAUUCAGAUAUUUUUUAUACGUAUUUAAAUGAAACGAUGACCACCAACAAACUGACGACCACACUCAAGAUUACUGCAUAAUAGUUCGUUAAAACGUUCAAAUGACAACAUCUGUUCUGAAAUCGAGUAUAUUUUGUAAGAUGUGUUGAUAGCGGGUACAGAUACUUCUUUUCUGGAUGACAUAUUCGUAAAAGACGGAGCUUAUGAUGAGAGCAGGUAUAUUUUGUAAAAUUGCGGCCCGGAGCAGUGGCUUGGAGCCCAAGCAAGCAAUUUUAGUUACGCGGACAAGUCACUAGAGGAUAACAGGUCUAAAGCGCUUCACGCUAGCCUGAAUUUACAAUCGAUUAGGGCAUCACGUUGGAGGUUUGUUACCCAGAACUCCCACGUGAAGAGCAUUUGGCUUAUAGUUGUGCCCCUAUCGCGCAUCAGAGUGCUAUAGGGGGGAAAGGGAUGGUCUGGAGCAUUGGAGCGUGGUGGAGUGACUCCUGUAUUUACCCGAGUUAAUACACCUCUCUCCAAUGAAUUGCUACACCCGAAUGUCUUUCUAAGGAGUGAACAAGUCUCACAGGCUGGGUUAAAUCAAAUUGCUUGCUUGCUGGCUCACAUCGCAAGUCAUCGCAAACUUCGUCGUCAUCACCAUGGAAGAAAGUAUGUUCGUCCCCGUUAGGUAAAUUAUUCCGUUUCGAUUUUUUUGCACAAACUUACUCAAAAAGAGCUUCUUAUAACAAAUCCACAGGGUGCCAGGCGAUACCGUGGUCAAAAAAUUGUAAACGAUUUUUUUAAAGAAAUUCACAAAAAUAAUUUUUAGUUCGAAUUUUUUUAGAUCAUUUGGGUCAUUCAUUCUAGGCAAAAAAGAUUUCUUGUGAUUUUUCUCUAAAAUUGAUUGUUGUUGAGUUUUAUGCGAUUUAAAAUUUGAAAAACGCGAAAAUAGUCAAUUUUCAAGUCUUAAUAACCAAGCUAAAAAUUAUUAUGAAAAUCAGGAAGGAAAUCAAAGUUAAAAGUCGCCCCUAUAAGAUCCUGACGCUAUGUGUAUGAUUAUCGUAUCACUAAACGAUUAUUUUUAAUUAUUACCAAUCAGUGCUAAGCGCGUAUUAGGCGGCCGUCAAUGGUAAGUGCGAAAGAGAUGCACCAUUCUGGCCUUUCAAUGUUGCAUCUUACUCACAUUCACAUUGACGGCCGUCUCAAUACGCUCUUAGUGCUCAUUGUUAAUAAUUGAAAAUAAUAGCUUAGUAAUAAAAUUAUGACAAAAACUUCUUAAGAAUCUUGUAGGAACGGAUUUAAACUUUGAUUUGGUCACUUUCUGACUUUCAUAAUAAUAAUUUUUAACCGAUACUAAAUCUUGGAAACGAUAAUUUUCGCAUUUUUCAAAUUUUAGAUCGCAUUAAACUCGACAACAAUUAAUUUUAAAGAAAAAUUACAAGAGACCUUUUUUGCUCCGAAUGACCUAAAUGAUCUAAUAAAAAUUUGUCCGAAAUUAAUUUAAUUUGUUUAAAAAUAUUAUUUAAACAAUUUUUCGACCACGGUACCUCCAGGUACCUUGUGGAUUUGUUAUAAGGACUUAUUUUUCAGUAAGUUUAUACAAAAAAAUUGAAUCGGAAUAAUUUACCUAACGGAGGCGACGAUACAACCUGGACUAUAAUUAAUAUGAAAUUUUUUUCAGGACACCUACAAAAAAAAACCACAAAAAAAAACACAAAAAACGGCUUCGGCCACCAAAAAAAUAAAAAAAAUAUUAAAAAAUCGGCGCAAGCCAAAAAAAAUCACAAAAAACAAAAAACCCGGGAAAGUAGGUCCCAACCCUUUGAGCUCCAAGUCUCUGAACCGAGCCCAACCCAGAUUCGAUUUUACAAAAUAUACCCACUGUCAGCACAACCUCCGCCUUCUACACAUACGUCAUCCAGAACUGUAAGUAUCCGUACCCACUAUCAACACAUCUUAAAAAAUAUACCCGAUUCCAACACAUGUGGUGUAAUUUGAAUCCACUGUGGUUUUUGUAUUUUCACUAAAAUUUUCUAUCCAUUUAUUGCAUUGCACACUAUAAUCUAUCUCGGUAUUAUUUCGGUUUAGAUUUGUUCGUACGCACACGUCAAGAUAAGCAUUAUCAGAACAUGAUUCAUCUUCAUCGUACAGUUUUAAAUAUUUUCUUAAAUAUAAUUCAGAUUCAGAUAGUUUUUCUACGUAUUUAUAUGAAACGAUGACCACCAAUAAACUGACGACCACACUCAAGAUUACUGCAUAAUAGUUCGUUAAAAGGUUCAAAUGACAACAUCUGUUCUGAAAUCGAGUAUAUUUUGUAAGAUGUGUUGAUAGCGGGUACGGAUACUUCUUUUCUGGAUGACAUAUUCGUAUAAGACGGAGCUUGUGAUAAGAGCAGGUAUAUUUUGUAAAAUUGCGGCCCGGAGCAGUGGCUUGGAGCCCAAGCAAGCAAUUUUAGUUACGCGGACAAGUCACUAGAGGAUAACAGGUCUAAAGCGCUUCACGCUAGCCUGAAUUUACAAUCGAUUAGGGCAUCACGUUGGAGGUUUAUUACCCAGAACUCCCACGUGAAGAGCAUUUGGCUCAUAGUUGUGCCCCUAUCGCGCAUCAGAGUGCUAUAGGGGGGAAAGGGAUGGUCUGGAGCAUUGGAGCGUGGUGGAGUGACUCCUGUAUUUACCCGAGUUAAUACACCUCGCUCCAAUGAAUUGUUACACUCGAAUGUCUUUCUAAGAAGUGAACAAGUCUCACAGGCUGGGUUAAAUCAAAUUGCUUGCUUGCUGCCUUACAACGUAAACAUUAUAAGACGACAUAUAAAUAUGUACAAUUAUUAUUAUAACUGUUAUUAAAAAUUCCUAAAUCAAAGGUACUAUUUGUUAAUUUUAAGAUAAUAUUAAAUUUAUUAUUAACAUAACUGAUUCAAAAAUUAAUAAGUAAUUUGUUCUUGUAAAGAUUUAUAAGAAAAAAAGCUGCAUUUGCGUGGCCUCUCUUAUCUAUCGUAAAUUGUUCAAUUUACUGCAACAAUAAACUUAGAAAUAGCGAUCUAGGAAGUGUAGCAUUGUAUUGUAUUUCAAUUCGAAACAUAAUAUUUCAUCUACAUUUAAUUGCUUGGUAUUUGUUAGCACGUGUAUACCUAAAAAAUAAUAAUUAUAUUAAAAAAUAAUUAUUAUUAUAAAACCAAUGUUACUCUCCCCACCAAUUUAAAUCCAUUAUACACGUAACAUAAAUUUCUGUAAAAUUGUUUAUAACCACUUAAAAAAUAUGAACAUUGAUAUUUAAAAAAAUAUACAGUAGAACGUCGAUAAUCCGGACGUCAAAAAUCCAGACCGUCAAUAAUCCGGAUUUGUAUCUAGCAAAAAUAUCUGAUUCUUUUAAAAUAAAUUAAGUACUUCGCUGCGAAAAACGAACCUCUACCGCAGUUCAAAAAUAUUUUUUUAAAAGCCCAAAUAGUGUCUGAUGUUUUUACUGUACACAUGGUGCUAUUAUAAAUUAAUUAUAAUACAGUGUUUAAACAUAAAAAAAUGUUUUGAUUAAUUUCACCUCUAGACACUUUACUGUACAAGAGAAAACAUAAAAUUUUAAAACGUUUGUUGUACUUUAAUGUGAAUACUGGCCCUUUUUUGGGGUCAUUUCGAUAAUCCGGAUAAUUUGAUAAUCCGGAUGGGGUCCGGUCCCAAUUAAUCCGGAUUAUUGACGUUCUACUGUAUAAAAAAACAAUAAAAAAAUAUAAAAAAAACAAAAGAAAAAAAAAAGAAAUAAAUAUUCAAAAACAAUAAAAAAACAAACAAAAAAAAAUAACAAACAAAGCCUAGAUCUCCGAGGUUGAAUCAGGUUUAGGUCUUAGCGCUGAAAGAAAAAUUUAUUGUAAUAUCCAUUAUUGGUUUAGUAUAAGCAUUUAGUAAUAGCAUUGUUUAUAUAGGGAGAUAGUUGGUCAGCUCAAUAAGUAAAUAUGUUUGAUUCAAAUUGAGACUGUCACCAGAUGUCCCCACAAUUUGUCAGGGUCGCAACGUCAAAAUGCAUAGACACCAAGUUGGAUACGAUCCUAUUCAUAACACUCCAACUCGCAUACGUAUUAAAAAAAUAAAUAUAUAAAAGAGUAUAUUUAGAAAUUGAAUUAAUGAUGUCAUGCUACUAUACAUUAUAUAUUAUAUAAUAGCAUGACAUCAUUAAUUCAAUUUCUAAAUAUAUUCUUCAAUAUAAAUAUAUUUAUUUUUCUUAAUAUUUAUGCGAGUUGAGGUGUUAUGAAUAGGAUCGUAUCCAACUUGGUGUCUAUGCAUUUUGACAUUGCGACCCUGACAAAAAUUGUGGGGUCAUCUGGGGACUGUCAAUUUGAAUCAAACAAAUUUUCCUAUUGGGCUUACCAACUAUCCCUAUAUAAACAAUGGUAAUAGUCUUUGAUAUUAGUAUGUAUGUUUAUAUAAUAGUCUUUAAUAUUAGUAUGUAUUUUUAAUGUAAUUUAUGUAAUAUAUGUAUUUGUUAAAAUAUAAUGUAUCUUAGUUAUAAUUAGGAAAUUGUGUUUAUAAAAACGAUAAAUAAAAAAAAUUGAGUAGCUA